rnacentral:rRNA from 1 species
CCAAUAGCGUAUAUUAAAGUUGUUGCAGUUAAAAAGCUCGUAGUUGAAUUUCGGGGUUAGUAAGUUGGUCGUGCCACUGGUAUGUACUGGCUUUACUGAUCCCUCCUUCUUGUAGAACCGUAAUGCCAUUAAUUUGGUGUUGCGGGGAAACAGGACUGUUACUUUGAAAAAAUUAGAGUGUUUAAAGCAGGCUAACGCUUGAAUACAUUAGCAUGGAAUAAUGAAAUAGGACGUUCGAUCCUAUUUUGUUGGUUUCUAGGAUUGACGUAAUGAUUAAUAGGGAUAGUUGGGGGCAUUAGUAUUCAAUUGUCAGAGGUGAAAUUCUUGGAUUUAUUGAAGACUAACUACUGCGAAAGCAUUUGCCAAGGAUGUUUUCAUUAAUCAAGAACGAAAGUUAGGGGAUCGAAGACGAUCAGAUACCGUCGUAGUCUUAACCAUAAACUAUGCCGACUAGGGAUCGGAUGAUGUUAAUUUUUUAAUGACUCAUUCGGCGCCUUAC